CCUACGGGAGGCAGCAGUGGGGAAUAUUGCGCAAUGGGCGAAAGCCUGACGCAGCGACGCCGCGUGAGGGAUGAAGGUCUUCGGAUCGUAAAGCUCUAUCAGCAGGGAAGAAAAUGACGGUACCUGACUAAGAAGCCCCGGCUAACUACGUGCCAGCAGCCGCGGGAAUACGUAGGGGGCACACGUUAUCCGGAUUUACUGGGGGUAAAGGGAGCGGAAACGGCGGUGCAAGCCAGAUGUGGAAGCCCGGGGCUCAACCCGGGGACUGCAUUUGGAACUGUGCUGCUAGAGUGUCGGAGAGGCAGGCGGAAUUCCUAGUGUAGCGGUGAAAUGCGUAGAUAUUAGGAGGAACACCAGUGGCGAAGGCGGCCUGCUGGACGAUGACUGACGUUGAGGCUCGAAAGCGUGGGGAGCAAACAGGAUUAGAUACCCGGGUAGUC
rnacentral:rRNA from 1 species